rnacentral:rRNA from 1 species
CUUGCUUCUCUUGAGAGCGGCGGACGGGUGAGUAAUGCCUAGGAAUCUGCCUGGUAGUGGGGGAUAACGUCCGGAAACGGACGCUAAUACCGCAUACGUCCUACGGGAGAAAGCAGGGGACCUUCGGGCCUUGCGCUAUCAGAUGAGCCUAGGUCGGAUUAGCUAGUUGGUGGGGUAAUGGCUCACCAAGGCGACGAUCCGUAACUGGUCUGAGAGGAUGAUCAGUCACACUGGAACUGAGACACGGUCCAGACUCCUACGGGAGGCAGCAGUGGGGAAUAUUGGACAAUGGGCGAAAGCCUGAUCCAGCCAUGCCGCGUGUGUGAAGAAGGUCUUCGGAUUGUAAAGCACUUUAAGUUGGGAGGAAGGGCAGUAAAUUAAUACUUUGCUGUUUUGACGUUACCGAC